rnacentral:miRNA from 1 species
UAUCCAGGAAAAUGACGCCU